AGCGAACGCUGGCGGCAGGCCUAAUACAUGCAAGUCGAACGGUCUCUUCGGAGGCAGUGGCGGACGGGUGAGUAACGCGUGGGAAUAUGCCCUUUGGUACGGAACAACUGAGGGAAACUUCAGCUAAUACCGUAUGUGCCCUUCGGGGGAAAGAUUUAUCGCCAUUGGAGUAGCCCGCGUUGGAUUAGGUAGUUGGUGGGGUAAAGGCCUACCAAGCCUACGAUCCAUAGCUGGUCUGAGAGGAUGAUCAGCCACACUGGGACUGAGACACGGCCCAGACUCCUACGGGAGGCAGCAGUAGGGAAUCUUGCGGCAAUGGGCGAAAGCCUGACGCAGCCAUGCCGCGUGAAUGAUGAAGGUCUUAGGAUUGUAAAUUACUUUCACCGGGGAAGAUAAUGACGGUACCCGGAGAAGAAGCCCCGGCUAACUUCGUGCCAGCAGCCGCGGUAAU
rnacentral:rRNA from 1 species